rnacentral:rRNA from 1 species
UACAGAGGUCCCGAGCGUUGUUCGGAUUCACUGGGCGUAAAGGGCGCGUAGGCGGCACUGUUAGUCAGGCGUGAAAUUCCUGGGCUCAACCUGGGGACUGCGCUUGAUACGGCAGAGCUAGAGGAUGGAAGAGGCUCGCGGAAUUCCCAGUGUAGAGGUGAAAUUCGUAGAUAUUGGGAAGAACACCGGUGGCGAAGGCGGCGAGCUGGUCCAUUACUGACGCUGAGGCGCGACAGCGUGGGGAGCAAACAGG